UGGUGGAGUGAUUUGUCUGGUUAAUUCCGAUAACGAGCGAGACCUCAGCCUACUAAUUAGCUAUAACAAUCUAAGGAUUGUCCCACCUUAGCUUCUUAGAGGGACUAUCGGUGAGUAGCCGAUGGAAGUUUGAGGCAAUAACA
rnacentral:rRNA from 1 species